UGGGAUUCCUAGCCAGUCCUCAAUACUGUCCCACCUCCCUGCUUUACUUUUCUCAUCCAGGAAACCAGGACAACAACAGAAUCUACUCCUAGCAGUGUUACGAGGAUUUGGAGCACUGGGUCAGGGAAAGCCUGCUGCUGAAUGCCUGGCACGUGGGGAAGAGUGAAUGGAAGAACAUGCUUCCUUUCAUCACUCUGCCCCCAUCUGAGAGCUUUCAGGACAUCAAGAAUUCAAGAGGGAAUAAAGUCCACACUGCUAACACCAUCACAUUGUAUUUGAAAACACAAUCAAUCUUCAGAGGAAAAAAAUAACUUUAGACGGAUAUAUGAUUAUGUAAGAAAUCAGGCUGGCCGCGGUGGCUCA
rnacentral:antisense_RNA from 1 species